rnacentral:lncRNA from 1 species
GAAGAACUCGGGGAGGCGGAAGGAACCCAUGGAGAGACCCACGGCUGCCUAGGCUGGCACAGAGCGCCUUACCCUUCGGGGAUGUGAUUUCUGCCCCUUCUUCUUCGGUGGGGUACAGUCAGCUAUGUCCAAGUCCCCACCACGGCCACCGUGGCUAUUAAGUCCCUGGCUCAUGUGGGCGACUUGACACCGCCCACCCCACGCAGGCGCGGCCAACAACUGUCAGAGCAACGACCUCAGGACCAUCCGAAUCACUGAAGGUUCCACAGCAGCGGUACAGUGAUGCUCUCCCCAUCCGGUGCUCCUGUGCCAGUCAACAGGCCUGUGGGACCACCCCGCCCUCUGUAGCUCGAGUCCGGUAGCGCAGACAUGGAAGGAAACACCAAAGAAAAAAAGAACUAUUCAAGUCCAAGAUUUCCUCAGCACUCUGGUAGAGGCUCCUGUGCCUGCUAGGAAAUCUCCGAUUCACCUACAACCAAAGAACAGGAUAUCUGAAUUCUAGUGGACUAAGUCCCAGCAUAGACUGUGGGUAAUUAUGGCAGCCAUUAAGAAAUCAGUUUUACACUAGCUUGUAUUUCUUCUCAUCCUCUUGCCUCCACUUCACAAACACUGGGAUUAUGGGCGUGUAUCACCAUGCUAAAUAUUAUGGGAUGCUGGCAAUAGAACUAUAAGGGCUUUGCUCAUGCUAGGCGAGCACUCUAUAUAUCCUUGGCACCCCUCUUUCUCUCAUUUGUCCAGUCUAUGGGGAAGAAGCUUGCUCUGCUGAGUGUUUCUUGCAUGACACCCUCCCUUACCAUGGGACAAAACUCCACAGGAGCUGUGGGACUGUGGACUGGAACCUCCAGCACUGUGAGCUGAGGGCUUUAGGUGCCAAUUUCUACAGAACACCAUAGAGUAUGAACAACUGGCAGAUAAGAAGGAAAAAGAAGACGCAGGGGCACCGAGUGCUGCCUUCUGGGAAGAUAUCAAAAACAUUCUACAGAAAACUUCAGAAGGCUUUGCCAAAGGGGUUCUCCUCCAGCUGGGCCAGUGGAUGGUGGGGAAGGAAGUCACCGUGGGGAAGGGGCCCUGGUGCAGCACGGUCAUCUACAAAGGCUGAAGCCUCUUUAGUAGGAACCGCACUUUUCAAGCCACCACUGGGUGUGGCCCAGAGGAAGCCUCUGAGGACUUAGCCUCCAGCACAGCAGCAUCAGCCACUCAGCCUGGGGAAAGUGGGAUGGCAA